UUUAGAAUAUGAUGACAACAUCCUUUACUUGAACUCUCUCACUGAUAAAGUGAUGAGAAACUAAGGUCUGAUUAGG
ensembl:snoRNA SNORD81 Small nucleolar RNA SNORD81